GGCUGCUGUUAAACAAGAGGAGGUAGACACAACCAAUGAUACCAGCGGUGGCCAAAUUACCCAUGGUAAUUCUGAAAAAUGUAUUUAUAAUUGUUUAUAAAUUGCAAAGAAUGUUUCUUCUUCUUCGCUGAUGCAUGCUGUUUGAAAAGUUUUUUGUAUCACACUUACACAUGCAAGUUGAUCAAGUAUGUAAUAAAACAAACUUCUUUCAGGGUCCAAUAGAUCUUGUGUUUGCUAUUCAUUAAUGCUGUAAUUUAUUUGUUGUUACAUGUGCAAGCACUGCUUACUACUUCCAGCUUACCAUAUACGAUGGAUACCAUUUUCUGCCUUUCACUAAUACACACAAGCUAAUUAGCCCCUCUGUUUGUUUAUGUUAUCCUCUAUCUGCUGUUGCAACCUUUUACAAUGUUCUCCUUACCUAUUCAACACAAACGAACCACUAUGUCGGAAGCACAAUAAGUGAUAUGAGUAUAUUCAUCGCCCACGCAAAGCAAGCUCAAUCCAAAAGUUCAAAGGCAAGAAAAUCCAUCUAAAGCCUGGAAAGUUCAUUCUCCGUGGUGAGCCUUGCAAGCACUACUUAGAUGAGUUUAGUCGCCACGUUGUGUGGGGCAACACAGUUAGGCUCUACAACCAUAAUGUUCAUGCACUGCAAAAGAUCAUCCGCAGCACCACCACGCCUAAUAACUACUAUGUGUGCCACAUGACAGAAACAUUUGCAACACAAGGCAAAAGAAUGUACUUUAAUGUCCACUUUUCUACGGGUUCCCUUUUCCCACACAUGGAUGCUGACCACGAUGAACUUACAAUCACAACUGGAGAUGGAACAACCACUGUCACGGCCCGCUUUAUCAAGGGAGUUGACAAAAGGGCCACCAUCACUAAAGGCUGGAGCGACUUCUUCCGUUGGACCCACAUGAACGAAGGGAAAGCAUAUGCUUUCGGCUUCAAAUGCACUUCCAAGGGAUUGCACCUGAUUGUCUACUCAAUAUAAGCAAGUUGCAGGAGCCCCUUUCUAUAUAACAUAGUAUUAGUAUAAAUGCCUACAAAGACAUCUAUAUUUAUCCUCCUUUUCGAUCUU